rnacentral:rRNA from 1 species
CGGCGGACGGGUGAGUAACGCGUGGGUAACCUGCCUCAUACAGGGGGAUAACAGUUGGAAACGGCUGCUAAUACCGCAUAAGCGCACAGUACCGCAUGGUACCGUGUGAAAAACUCCGGUGGUAUGAGAUGGACCCGCGUCUGAUUAGGUAGUUGGUGGGGUAACGGCCUACCAAGCCGACGAUCAGUAGCCGACCUGAGAGGGUGACCGGCCACAUUGGGACUGAGACACGGACCAA